rnacentral:rRNA from 1 species
AGAGUUUGAUCAUGGCUCAGAUUGAACGCUGGCGGCAUGCUUUACACAUGCAAGUCGAACGGCAGCGCGGGGGCAACCCUGGCGGCGAGUGGCGAACGGGUGGGUAAUACAUCGGAACGUGUCCCGUAGUGGGGGAUAACCCGGCGAAAGCCGGACUAAUACCGCAUAUGCUCCACGGAGGAAAGUGGGGGACCCGCAAGGGCCUCAUGCUAUGGGAGCGGCCGAUGUCCGAUUAGCUUGUUGGCGGGGUAAAGGCCCACCAAGGCGACGAUCGGUAGCUGGUCUGAGAGGAUGAUCAGCCACACUGGGACUGAGACACGGCCCAGACUCCUACGGGAGGCAGCAGUGGGGAAUUUUGGACAAUGGGGGCAACCCUGAUCCAGCCAUGCCGCGUGAGUGAAGAAGGCCUUCGGGUUGUAAAGCUCUUUUGGUCGGAAAGAAAAGGCUUCGUCGAAUAAGCGAGGCUCUUGACGGUACCGGCAGAAUAAGCACCGGCUAACUACGUGCCAGCAGCCGCGGUAAUACGUAGGGUGCGAGCGUUAAUCGGAAUUACUGGGCGUAAAGAGUGCGUAGGCGGUUCUUUGUGUCCGCUGUGAAAGCCCCGGGCUUAACCUGGGGAAUGGCAGUGGAAAACUAGAGAACUCGAAUCUGGCAGAGGGGGGUGGAAUGCCCGUGUAGCAGUGAAAUGCGUAGAGAUGUGGCGGAACACCGAAUGGCGAAGCAGCCCCCUGAGCUGAGAUUGACACUCAGCUCGAAAGCGUGGGGAGCCAACAGGAUUAAGAUCCCUGGUAUCCAAGCGCCUAAUCAAGGUCA